rnacentral:ncRNA from 2 species
AAUGGAUUAUAUGACUGGCGGAUAAAUAUGGGUUUAACCAUAGGGGAAUAUAAUCUUUAAUGAAUCGCCCGCCUGGAUAUUGAAU